GUUAUAUUAACUCAUGUGUUAUAUUAACUCAUGUGUUAUUUUAACUAAUGUGUUAUAUUAACUCAUGUGUUAUAUUAACUAAUGUGUUAUAUUAACUCAUGUGUUAUUUUAACUCAUGUGUUAUAUUAACUAAUGUGUUAUUUUAACUAAUGUGUUAUAUUAACUCCUGUGUUAUAUUAACUCAAGUGUUAUAUUAACUCCUGUGUUAUAUUAACUCAAGUGUUAUAUUAACUCAAGUGUUAUAUUAACUAAUGUGUUAUAUUAACUAAUGUGUUAUAUUAACUCAUGUGUUAUAUUAACUCAUGUGUUAUUUUAACUAAUGUGUUAUAUUAACUCAUGUGUUAUAUUAACUAAUGUGUUAUAUUAACUAAUGUGUUAUAUCAACUCGUGGUAUAUUAACUCAUGUGUUAUAUUAACUAAUGUGUUAUAUUAACUCAUGUGUUAUAUUAACUCAUGUGUUAUAUUAACUCAUGUGUUAUAUCAACUCGUGGUAUAUUAACUCAUGUGUUAUAUUAACUCAUGUGUUAUAUUAACUAAUGUGUUAUAUUAACUCAUGUGUUAUAUUAACUCAUGUGUUAUUUUAACUAAUGUGUUAUAUUAACUAAUGUGUUAUAUUAACUCAUGUGUUAUAUUAACUCAAGUGUUAUAUUAACUAAUGUGUUAUAUUAACUCCUGUGUUAUAUUAACUCAAGUGUUAUAUUAACUGAUGUGUUAUAUUAACUGAUGUGUUAUAUUAAAUAAUGUGUUAUAUUAACUCAUGUGUUAUAUUAACUCAUGUGUUAUAUUAACUCAUGUGUUAUUUUAACUAAUGUGUUAUAUUAACUCAUGUGUUAUAUUAACUAAUGUGUUAUAUUAACUAAUGUGUUAUAUUAACUCAUGUGUUAUUUUAACUCAUGUGUUAUAUUAACUCCUGUGUUAUAUUAACUCAAGUGUUAUAUUAACUGAUGUGUUAUAUUAACUGAUGUGUUAUAUUAAAUAAUGUGUUAUAUUAACUCAUGUGUUAUAUUAACUCAUGUGUUAUAUUAACUCAUGUGUUAUUUUAACUAAUGUGUUAUAUUAACUCAUGUGUUAUAUUAACUAAUGUGUUAUAUUAACUAAUGUGUUAUAUUAACUCAUGUGUUAUUUUAACUCAUGUGUUAUAUUAACUAAUGUGUUAUUUUAACUAAUGUGUUAUAUUAACUCCUGUGUUAUAUUAACUCAAGUGUUAUAUUAACUCCUGUGUUAUAUUAACUCAAGUGUUAUAUUAACUCAAGUGUUAUAUUAACUAAUGUGUUAUAUUAACUAAUGUGUUAUAUUAACUCAUGUGUUAUAUUAACUCAUGUGUUAUUUUAACUAAUGUGUUAUAUUAACUCGUGUUAUAUUAACUAAUGUGUUAUAUUAACUAAUGUGUUAUAUCAACUCGUGGUAUAUUAACUCAUGUGUUAUAUUAACUAAUGUGUUAUAUUAACUCAUGUGUUAUAUUAACUCAUGUGUUAUUUUAACUAAUGUAUUAUAUUAACUAAUGUGUUAUUUUAACUAAUGUGUUAUAUUAACUCCUGUGUUAUAUUAACUCAAGUGUUAUAUUAACUAAUGUGUUAUAUUAACUCAUGUGUUAUAUUAACUCAUGUGUUAUAUUAACUCAUGUGUUAUAUCAACUCGUGGUAUAUUAACUCAUGUGUUAUAUUAACUAAUGUGUUAUAUUAACUCAUGUGUUAUUUUAACUAAUGUGUUAUAUUAACUAAUGUGUUAUAUUAACUCAUGUGUUAUAUUAACUCAAGUGUUAUAUUAACUAAUGUGUUAUAUUAACUCAUGUGUUAUAUUAACUCAAGUGUUAUAUUAACUCAUGUGUUAUAUUAACUCAAGUGUUAUAUUAACUAAUGUGUUAUAUUAACUCAUGUGUUAUAGUAACUCAUGUGUUAUUUUAACUAAUGUGUUAUAUUAACUCAUGUGUUAUAUUAACUAAUGUGUUAUAUUAACUAAUGUGUUAUAUUAACUCAUGUGUUAUUUUAACUAAUGUGUUAUUUUAACUAAUGUGUUAUAUUAACUCCUGUGUUAUAUUAACUCAAGUGUUAUAUUAACUGAUGUGUUAUAUUAACUGAUGUGUUAUAUUAAAUAAUGUGUUAUAUUAACUCAUGUGUUAUAUUAACUCAUGUGUUAUUUUAACUAAUGUGUUAUAUUAACUCAUGUGUUAUAUUAACUAAUGUGUUAUAUUAACUCAUGUGUUAUUUUAACUAAUGUGUUAUAUUAACUAAUGUGUUAU
ensembl:lncRNA